CCUGGCUCAGGAUGAACGCUAGCUACAGGCUUAACACAUGCAAGUCGAGGGGCAGCAUUUUAGUUUGCUUGCAAACUGAAGAUGGCGACCGGCGCACGGGUGAGUAACACGUAUCCAACCUGCCGAUAACUCCGGAAUAGCCUUUCGAAAGAAAGAUUAAUACCGGAUAGCAUACGAAUAUCGCAUGAUAUUUUUAUUAAAGAAUUUCGGUUAUCGAUGGGGAUGCGUUCCAUUAGUUUGUUGGCGGGGUAACGGCCCACCAAGACUACGAUGGAUAGGGGUUCUGAGAGGAAGGUCCCCCACAUUGGAACUGAGACACGGUCCAAACUCCUACGGGAGGCAGCAGUGAGGAAUAUUGGUCAAUGGGCGAGAGCCUGAACCAGCCAAGUAGCGUGAAGGAUGAAGGCUCUAUGGGUCGUAAACUUCUUUUAUAUGGGAAUAAAGUUUUCCACGUGUGGAAUUUUGUAUGUACCAUAUGAAUAAGGAUCGGCUAACUCCGUGCCAGCAGCCGCGGUAAUACGGAGGAUCCGAGCGUUAUCCGGAUUUAUUGGGUUUAAAGGGAGCGUAGGUGGAUUGUUAAGUCAGUUGUGAAAGUUUGCGGCUCAACCGUAAAAUUGCAGUUGAAACUGGCAGUCUUGAGUACAGUAGAGGUGGGCGGAAUUCGUGGUGUAGCGGUGAAAUGCUUAGAUAUCACGAAGAACUCCGAUUGCGAAGGCAGCUCACUAGACGGUCACUGACACUGAUGCUCGAAAGUGUGGGUAUCAAACAGGAUUAGAUACCCUGGUAGUCCACACAGUAAACGAUGAAUACUCGCUGUUUGCGAUAUACAGUAAGCGGCCAAGCGAAAGCAUUAAGUAUUCCACCUGGGGAGUACGCCGGCAACGGUGAAACUCAAAGGAAUUGACGGGGGCCCGCACAAGCGGAGGAACAUGUGGUUUAAUUCGAUGAUACGCGAGGAACCUUACCCGGGCUUAAAUUGCAACAGAAUAUAUUGGAAACAGUAUAGCCGUAAGGCUGUUGUGAAGGUGCUGCAUGGUUGUCGUCAGCUCGUGCCGUGAGGUGUCGGCUUAAGUGCCAUAACGAGCGCAACCCUUAUCUUUAGUUACUAACAGGUUAUGCUGAGGACUCUAGAGAGACUGCCGUCGUAAGAUGUGAGGAAGGUGGGGAUGACGUCAAAUCAGCACGGCCCUUACGUCCGGGGCUACACACGUGUUACAAUGGGGGGUACAGAAGGCGGCUACCUGGUGACAGGAUGCUAAUCCCAAAAACCUCUCUCAGUUCGGAUCGAAGUCUGCAACCCGACUUCGUGAAGCUGGAUUCGCUAGUAAUCGCGCAUCAGCCAUGGCGCGGUGAAUACGUUCCCGGGCCUUGCACACACCGCCC
rnacentral:rRNA from 1 species